GUGCUAGCUUUGGCAGCACCUAUACUAAAACUGGAAUGAAACAGAAGAUUAGCAUGGCCCCUGCGCAUGGAUGACACGCAAGUUCAUGAAGCGUUCCAUAUUAAA
rnacentral:snRNA from 1 species